rfam:Clostridium caminithermale DSM 15212 genome assembly, contig: EJ27DRAFT_scaffold00007.7
GUAGCCUUUAAUUUAACCCCGUGAGGUUAAAAAGGAGUAAGAAAUUACAUAGAUAUUGGUGUGCCGAAUAUAAUGGCUGCCUAAAAACUAUGCUAAGAUUAUUAAACCUUCUUUAUCCUCAUGGAAAAAGAAGGUUUUUUU